GGGAAGCUGGCUCAGUGGUAGAGUGCUUGUCUUGCAUGCAUGAGGCCCUGGGUUCGAUUCCUCAGCACCACA
rfam:Dipodomys ordii contig_42253, whole genome shotgun sequence.